rnacentral:rRNA from 1 species
AACGAACGCUGGCGGCAUGCCUAACACAUGCAAGUCGAACGAGACCUUCCGGUCUAGUGGCGCACGGGUACGUGCCACGUGGGAACCUGCACUUAGGUUACGUAUCCCUCACCGAAGGGUGUGCUCAUACCGGUUAAUGUCAUAGCGGAAAAGAUUUAUCGCCUUUGGGUGGGCCCUCGUUGGAUUAGCUAGUUGGUAGGGUAAAAGCAUACCAAGGCGUCGUUGCAGAGCUGGUCGGAUACCAGGCCAAGCCACACUGGAGCUGAGACACGGCCCACACUCCGACGGAGGGGAGGAGUAUGGAAUACUAGACGAUGAGGCCAAGCCUGAUCCAGCAAUGCCGCGGGAGUGAUGAAGCCCUUAGUGUUGUAAAGCCCUCUGACCCGGGAUGUGAAUGACAGUACCGGGAGAAGAAGCUCCGGCUAACUCCGUG